rnacentral:rRNA from 1 species
GAUGAACGUUGGCGGCGUGCCUAAUACAUGCAAGUCGAACGAAGACUGUAGUAAUACUGUCUUAGUGGCGAACGGGUGAGUAACGCGUGGGUGACCUGCCCCGAAGUGUGGGAUAACAGUUCGAAAGGAUUGCUAAUACUGCAUAAUAUCCAAGAGAUUAGACGCUUUUUGGAUUAAAGGAGUAAUUCGCUUCGGGAGGGGCCCGCGUCCCAUCAGCUAGUUGGUAAGGUAAUGGCUUACCAAGGCGAUGACGGGUAGGGGACCUGAGAGGGUGGCCCCCACAAUGGAACUGAAACACGGUCCAUACACCUACGGGUGGCAGCAGUAGGGAAUAUUAGUAAUGGGCGAAAGCCUGAACUAGCAACGCCGCGUGUGCGAAGAAGGCCUUCGGGUUGUAAAGCACUUUUGUAGAGGAUGAGGAAGGACGGUAACUCUCAGAAUAAGUCUCGGCUAACUACGUCCAGCAGCCGCGUAAGAGUGUGUGUA